GUGUUUGUACAAGCCUAAAUCAUUCCUUGUAAAUGAUUGUAUACAUUCCUGGAUAUUUGAGGGCGGUUAAUUGGUUGUUUUUGAAGUAAACUGAUCAUGGAAGUUUAUCAUGAUUGUGCAUUUACAUAUGUAUUGUGACUUGUGUCUAGUGUGAGUUUUCUUUAUUAAUGUGUACUUUAGUAUAAUCACCCCAGGCUUAGAGAGAGAUUUUCAACUUGAAAGCUUCAAAACAUGAUAUCGGCUGUUUGCAAAUACCAAAUAUUAUUUGGUACCUUUUUAAAGAUUACAUGUUAUGAGAGGGAUUGGGCAUAAUGAGGUUUUGCUACACACCAUCCUUGAGGGAUUUACAGGAGUAUUAAUACUUUAAGAAGAAAACAAAGAAGUCCAAGUGCCAAACGAAUGAUUUUCAAAGGAAGGAUAUUGUGAUUUUUUUUCUAAUUUCAAUUGUGACAAAUCUUCUAUGUUAAGAAGACUAUAUUAUUGACUGUGCGGAUGUUAAAAAAGUUCAUGGAUUACAUUUGUGAAAUGGUUUAAACCAAUUAAAACCG